rnacentral:rRNA from 1 species
CACGUAGGGGGCGAGCGUUGUCCGGAUUCAUUGGGCGUAAAGAGCUCGUAGGCGGCUCAGUAAGUCGGGUGUGAAACCCUCAGGCUCAACCUGGGGACGCCACUCGAUACUGCUGUGGCUAGAGUCCAGUAGGGGAGUGUGGAAUUCCCGGUGUAGCGGUGAAAUGCGCAGAUAUCGGGAGGAACACCAGCGGCGAAGGCGGCACUCUGGGCUGGUACUGACGCUGAGGAGCGAAAGCGUGGGUAGCAAACAGG